UACAGAGGUCUCAAGCGUUGUUCGGAUUCAUUGGGCGUAAAGGGUGCGUAGGCGGCGCGGUAAGUCGGGUGUGAAAUCUCGGAGCUUAACUCCGAAACUGCAUUCGAUACUGCCGUGCUUGAGGACUGGAGAGGAGACUGGAAUUUACGGUGUAGCGGUGAAAUGCGUAGAUAUCAGGAGGAACACCGAUGGCGAAGGCAGGUCUCUGGGCUGACACUGACGCUCAUGCACGAAAGCGUGGGGAGCAAACAGG
rnacentral:rRNA from 1 species